rnacentral:tRNA from 1 species
GAGGGGUGGCUGAGUGGUUGAAAGCACUUGUCUUGAAAACAAGCAUACGUUUACGCGUAUCGCAGGUUCGAAUCCUGUCCCCUC